AGGCCGGUCGUUCAACGGAUAGGACAUCAGGUUUCGGCCCUGAUGAUGGGGGUUCGAUUCCCUCCCGGCCUG
rnacentral:tRNA from 1 species